rnacentral:tRNA from 2 species
GCAGUCGUGGCCGAGUGGUUAAGGCGAUGGACAAGAAAUCCAUUGGGGUCUCCCCGCACAGGUUCGAGUCCUGUUGACUGCG